CUUGUCGGAGUGCCUUCGGGCUGAGACUGCACUGCAGAAUCCGCUAUACCUGAUCAGGUUAAUGCCUGCGUAGGGAACA
rnacentral:ncRNA from 1 species